rnacentral:rRNA from 1 species
AUUGAACGCUGGCGGCAGGCUUAACACAUGCAAGUCGAGCGGUGGAUGGUAGCUUGCUACCUGACCUAGCGGCGGACGGGUGAGUAAUGCUUAGGAAUCUGCCUAUUAGUGGGGGACAACAUUCCGAAAGGAAUGCUAAUACCGCAUACGCCCUACGGGGGAAAGCAGGGGAUCUUCGGACCUUGCGCUAAUAGAUGAGCCUAAGUCAGAUUAGCUAGUUGGUGGGGUAAAGGCCUACCAAGGCGACGAUCUGUAGCGGGUCUGAGAGGAUGAACCGCCACACUGGGACUGAGACACGGCCCAGACUCCUACGGGAGGCAGCAGUGGGGAAUAUUGGACAAUGGGCGAAAGCCUGAUCCAGCCAUGCCGCGUGUGUGAAGAAGGCCUUUUGGUUGUAAAGCACUUUAAGCGAGGAGGAGGCUACCGAGAUUAAUACUCUAGGAUAGUGGACGUUACUCGCAGAAUAAGCACCGGCUAACUCUGUGCCAGCAGCCGCAGUAAAAC